UACGUAGGGUGCGAGCGUUAAUCGGAAUUACUGGGCGUAAAGCGUGCGCAGGCGGUUUUGUAAGCCAGGUGUGAAAUCCCCGGGCUCAACCUGGGAAUGGCAUUUGGGACUGCAAGGCUGGAGUGCGGCAGAGGAGACUGGAAUUCCUGGUGUAGCAGUGAAAUGCGUAGAUAUCAGGAGGAACACCGAUGGCGAAGGCAGGUCUCUGGGCUGACACUGACGCUCAUGCACGAAAGCGUGGGGAGCGAAACAAGGAUUAUAAACCC
rnacentral:rRNA from 1 species